rnacentral:rRNA from 1 species
CGCAAGUGUAUUCCUAUACUGUUGCGUUUAAAUAGCUCGUAGUUGGAUCUGCGUGUUUAGCGCGCGGUGCUGCUUUCUUGCAGCUACUGUGACGCGACACUGUACGCUGACUGCAUACUUCGUAAGUACGUAGUCAGCAAGUUUACUUUGAACAAAUCAGAGUGCUCAAAACGGGCGUUUCGCUCGAAUGUUCUUGCAUGGAAUAAUGGAAUAGGACCUUGCGUUCUAUUUUGUUGGUUUUCGGGACGCGGGUAAUGAUUAAGAGGGACAGACGGGGGCAUUUGUACUGCGACGUGAGAGGUGAAAUUCUUGGAUCGUCGGAUGACGCACUACUGCGAAAGCAUUUGCCAAGAAUGUUUUCAUUAA